AGACAUUAAGGCACGUCUGAAUCCAAAGUUAGCUUCACUUCCUGUCUCAUGAGAUGCCUUCAUCUGAUCGAUUUUUGAAGGCAGCAUAGAUGUAUUCUUCACUGCCUUUGAUAUCCCACAAUCUUAAAUAUGGCGUCUGAAAGUUGCGGUUGGUGGUCAGUUUGUGUGUAAAUUUAUGACCAUUGUUUUCUACUUUUGAUGUUACUUCUAGCGAAAAAGUACUAUUAUGCUACUUAAACGUUCGCUUAGUUAUCACCAAGCUCGCGCUAUUUUGCUGUUGAUUAAACCGUUACGUUGCCUCAGAAGUCUGUCCGAAAUGAGUUUCGUGAGGUACCUUCGGGCGCAAACGCUGCCUGUAAAGUCAUUGCAUGAUUGGGCAACGAGGCAACAAGUGAGCUGCCUGUUUCAAAAUCGCCCAUUCACUAGGCGGCGCUAUGUGCAUGUGCCUGAUUCAAACAAGCGGAAGAUUCGGCCAUUUUAGAUACAGGACUACCGGAGUGCGCUUUUUUGCGGUUCUUGAAAAUGAAAUAAAUGCUAUUCAGUGUAAAUAGUCUCUAUGUAAUUCGUUUUCUCUCUGUUAGUCGUCUCGUAUAAUAUCUCUGGCUGAGGGUGCGGCUCAGAAACGGGUCUCUGAUGAACAAUCAGAGGACUGUAAUAACUUCAAGGAUCAUAUCUCUUCACGCAACUGUACAACAAGAUGAAGAGCGCACUUAUACUUGUUCUUUCCCCAUUAUUCGCGAUCGGUGUGUUUGGUGAGUCAGUGUCAGUGAAGGAGGGAGGGUCACACACUUUACAGACUGGCAUUACAAUACGAGGUAGUGAUGAGAUAGAGUGGAGGUUAAAUGAAAUGCUUAUAUUUAGAAUCAGUAGUGUAGCCGGUAAGAUCACAGUAUUAGAUUCUACCGACGGGGCAUUCGGAGGCAGGCUGAAUGUGGACGAACACACUGGAGAUCUCAAGAUCACAAACAUCAAAAUCACAGAGUCUGGACAAUAUACACUAAAGAUCAGCAGCACCAAAGGGUCCUCAGACAAGAUAUUCACUGUCAUUGUUGAUCCAGAUCGAGGUCUGUCUUCAGGAGCGAUAGCAGGGAUAGUUAUUGCUGUUCUUGUAGUGCUGGCUGCAGCUGUUGGUGGGACUAUUUACUAUUUCUACAAGAAAAAGGGACAAAUGUUAUGAGCUUCUGUGACAGAUAUUAACUGUCUCUGAUUCCACUACAUAGAGAAGAAAUGAGCCAGAGGACACAGACCUGCCUUUGGUGAAGGAAAGCUCUUCCAACAGCUUUCUUAUGAAAAUAAUGUAACAGAUUUCUCCUCGUGAACCUCUAAAAUCCUGUGUAUGCCAAUGAAUCUAAUCUAAAUCUCACAUUUCAUUCCUUUCACUCAUUCUGAAUUCUGGAUAGUCCACUUUACACCAUUCUUCAAUUAUUAGCCAAAAUAUCUGAUGAAAAAAGUCAUGUAUAGACCAAAUAAAAAAUAAAAUUAAAAAAAGUGACACUUUUACAAUUUCUAAAAGUUUGUUUGUGCCACACUGACUGUUUUGCUCUGUGUACAAAGUUUGAUGUGAUUGCAGGAAGUAUCUGCAUAUUUAUUUCUAUUUGCUUACCUUAUAAUAUAAACUGUGCCUUAUUUUUAUGUCAAACAACAUAACUGCACUUAAUUUCACCUAUUUCGUGUUAUCUGCAGUAAAUCUGAACAUCUAGCUCUGAUUGUGAAUGUAAAUGUAAACCGUCUGAUUCAGGUGAUGAUUAAUCGUUGUAUAAGCUUAUUGUUAAUUUGUUUUUAGUUAUUUUAUUAGAGAAGGUUUAGCUUGGAAUUAUUUGUAUUUGAUGUUUCAAGCUUAAUGCAGAACAUUUGCUUCAAUAAAUAAAAUAGUGAGGAAAAUUUUUUUCUAAAACUAUAUUCUGGCUGCUGUUGUCUGGUUUGUUUAGUCUGUAAAAGUGAGAUGACCAACAGCUUCAGUAGUAUGUAGCAAUGGAUGUGGACUUCUCACAAAUGAAUGUUUGUCAGAUUAAUUGCUAGAUUCAACUCUCUUGAGCUCUAGAGCCAGAUUACUAAACAGGGCAGAUUAAGAGACCAUAAUCACAUAAAACUGCAGAUGGGAGAGGAAACUUAUGCGGUCGAUCUACAAACACAGGUCAUUUCCAUAAUGACCAACACAUUCACCAAGAGUUGAGAUCCAGUUAAUGAAACACAUGUUGAGCUCACAAUGCUAUAAUGCUUUUUUUUAGCUGCUGUUCCUCAAAAAUCCACCAGAUGGCGUCAUUUAUCAGUUAAAUCAAUAUACCGCUGAUGAUCCAAGUAGAAAGAUGUACAUAUCAGUACACCAGUAAAAUCAAUUCUAGUAAUAACUCCAUGUGUAUAGUAUUUUGUGUAACUGAAUCAUCAAUCCUGUUAAUUUCUUUUACCUUCUAUGGAUCCUUGCCUCAUUCAACACUCUGAUGCUCUAAACUUUCACCUUUAUCAUUUUAGGAUUCAGCAUUUGACCUUUACUCACCCUGACUAGCUGUUGAACUCAUUCCUGAACACAGUGUCUAAUCAACUGUAAUUUAAAAAGCUUUCCGUUUCAUUUAGGUCUAUUUAUAAAGGAUAGUGGAGCUAAUCUCCGGAAGGUGAUUCUGGUUACUAUGGCGCUCUUGUACAGUAAUAGGCAAUUAACGUUUCCCCCUUCACUUUAUUUGUACGUUUCUGCACAUAUUAUAAGCUUUUCCGACUCAAGAUUCAGGCCAGGCCAUUUCAAACAAGGGAUGUUUUGUCCUUAGUUUAAUUUAGAAUGGGAAAUGCAAACAUGGGCAUUAGUAUAGUGAUUUUUUUUUUUUUACGACUGUAAAAGUAUGGUAAUGUGGUAUCAGAAAGAUCCUGAAAGAAGAGGUCAUAUUAAAACUAUGGAUACCAUGGUAAAUUGUUUUUAAAUGCUAAUUUACCUUUAAAAAGUUGUGCUUAUAUCCUUAAUACGACGAAAUAGUAAUUCCUGCCUAUGUAAACAACACAUUCAGGUGUCGUUUGUUCUGUGAGAAUAUGAUUCUUCCUUCUAGUUAUGUUAUAGUUUAAUUUCUGAGGGUGUUUACAUCUGCUGCCUUGGACCAAAAAGGUGGUCCAUUUCCCGAUCACGAACAUGGCAGCUUUGCAGUUGUUCGUUGUCAAACACAAAAGUAUCCCAGCAACCGAAUCCUAGCGGAUAGACUCUGCUAGCACUGUUGCGUUUGUACCGUUAUAACAGAGAGGGUCAUUUAACAUGUUUCACACACUUGAUUCCGCAAACGUUUACUGAGCGGUUUUAAUAUAUUGUAUAUUGUAUAAAUUGAUAUACUGUAUUCAUAUUUGAUUAAUUGUAUUUGUUUAAAAGCGAAUGUUAUCAUAUCUCACUGCUUGCAGCCAUUUUCGCGUUACGUCACAUGUAAACAAAAGUUACGGACUUCCGCAUGAGUUGUAAAUCCGAUUUAAGUGGCGUUAUAUUGCACUUUUUUUUUUUUUUAGCAUAAGUUGGAAAGUAUCACUUUGUGAGGUGGGCAAAGUAACAUUUAAUAUAAUUUAAUAUAAAAUAUUUAAUAUAAAAAUAUAACUGCGCAUGUUAUAAUUUUCAAGUAAGUGGAUUUUUACCUGGUGGACGAUUAACAGUUAAAAAAUUCCCACAGGCUUCGAUCAAAUGACGCACCCAAGCAAUAUCAUAGCUGAUUUGGCUCUUUAUACUGGUAAACCACCUAGCAACCACACAGAACACCCUAUUAACCGCAUAGCAAUUCACUGACACCUCAGGACACCUUGGUAGGUGACAGAACUGGAAGCAGGUGGAGAUCUUCACGAGGAGUUUGGCGCCAUCAAGGUGUGUUUGGUGAUGAACUGAAGUCAGUGAUGGAGGGAGAAUCAGUCCUUCUACAGAUUAAUGUUACUGAAAUACAGACCGGUGAUGAGAUAACGUGGACAUUUGGUACUAACAAGAAUCUAUUAGCUGAAACUGAUGGAGUGACCAUUAAGAUUCCUGAUGAUCUUGAUGAAAGAUUCAGAGACAAACUGAAGCUGGAUCAUCAAACUGGAUCUCUGACCAUCACAAACAUUACAACUGAACACUCUGGAGUUUACGAAGUUGAGAUCAGCCUCAGCAGCUCAGAGACUAAACACAGAUUCACUGUUACUGUCUAUGGUGUGUUUGGUGUGGAUGAACUGAAGUCAGUGUCAGUGACGGAGGGAGAAUCAGUCCUUCUACAGAUUAACGUUACUAAAAUACAGACAGGUGAUGAGAUAACGUGGACAUUUGGUACUAACAAGAAUCUAUUAGCUGAAACUGAUGGAGUGACCAUUAAGAUUCCUGAUGAUCUUGAUGAAAGAUUCAGAGACAGACUGAAGCUGGACAAGAAGACUGGAUCUCUGACCAUCACAAACACCAGAACUGAACAUACUGGAGUUUAUGAAGUGAUCAUCAGUGGCAGCAGCACAGAGACUAAACACAGAUUCAAUGUUACUGUCAAUGAUUCUACAUUCUGCUGUCAUGGUCCUGAAAUUGUGACACGAUUGGUCAUCUCUGCUGCAGUUGGUCUGGCUACUGUAUUUAUUUUGGUGUAUGACAUCACAUCCAGAAAAGCUGAAGAGGAAACAACAUAACAGACAUUGUCAUCAAACCCUUGCAGAUGAAUAAUAUGUUUAUCUUCCUAUUUAAUUGUAUUUUAUUAUUUACUAAUUGCAUUUAAUAUAUUAUACUUUCAAUAAAACAUUUGCAAGGGGUUUAAGUUGUUUUUAUGUAAGUUUGACCUGAGUUGCAUGCACAUCAUUCUGACUACCAGCAUGUGGUGUUUCAAGCACUUUGAAACAGUGAAUCAUCUUUUUUUUUUUUUUUUUUUUCAAAGAAAUUGGUUCAAUUGAUCCAAAGUUUCAAAAAUGUUUAGGCUUGUUCGACCUGAAACAGCGCUGCACAUACUGAUCAGUGUAACAUCAUAAUACCGCAAGAGCGAUUGAGAGCAGAUGGCUCUGUUUGCUUUUGAAUUGCACUCACUAUACUUUGAUGUCUUACACCAAUCAGUAUGUGCAGCACCACUUCAGGUCAAAGGUUAGUAAACUCCCAUUACUAACCGUGCAUCCUAAUGUGUAUACUGUUAUGUCCCAGGGUAGCAUUGGUGGCAAUGGAGCUACAAUCAACUUAGACUUACGAUGCUUUUAGGAAACACAGCCCAAGACGUAUGCAUUUGUGUGCUGCCAAUGGACCCAAUGGCCUGUUGGGUCUUGUAGUUUUUGUUUUGUGUUUUGUCCUAUUUUCUGUGCUCCUCCCUGUCCUAAUCUAGAUGAUUGGACCUAUCAGCUGCACCUCGUCAAUAUCAAGAGGAGCCAGUAUUUAGGCAGAGCAAGAGAGUGGCCCCGAGAGAUUCUUUCUCCCAAGAGCAUGAGAGUGUUGCGCUGCUGGUGUGUCUUAAGCUUAAAUGUGGUGUUAUGGCUGUAGUGUUCAGUUUUAUGUUUUAAGCUUAAACUGAAAAUCAAACUGAACUGUGUUGUGGUUCUAGUGCACAGCUUUGAGCUAUUUGCCCGUUAUUGAGGUUGGAGCAGUAGGAUGACUGGUGUCAUUUUCUUUUGUUAUCAUUUUCACCGUUUUUUGCUAGUUAUGAAGUACAGUAAGAGUUCUGUUGUUUGCUUUUUAGCUAUUUUUGCAGGUUAAUGUCCUAAACAUUAAUGUGUUAAUGUAAGAUGUCCUUCUAUCAGGAAGUGAUCUUUUGUUUUGUUGUUUUGGCUCUACCCACUGUUGAAGAAUGCUUAUUUUUUAUUUUGGAAUCGUUUGUUUAGAGUUCUUUUUUGCACUGUAUAUAUGUCAUCAUUUUGUUUAUUGUAAAUAAAUUUAUUUAAAUCUUA